AUAUUUUUAAUUUACUAUGGUGAUCUACCUUCAUAAUGUUUUGGGGAAUAAAUUAGAUAAUAGCUUCCCUGAGGGCUGAUAGUUAGUAUUAUUGAGAGAAAUGCAUAAUUUAUUUUUAGAGAAGUGUUGUGUUAUAUAGUGCCUUUACAUA